AAUUCUCAACCUCGUCGUUUCGUUUCGAGGCGAGGCUUGGACUUGGAGCGUGCCGGUCCUUUCUUGGGUCGGCUCCUCUUUGAAUGCAUCAGCGGAGUCUUCUUUGGCUCGUGGCAUCGGCGUGAUAAUCACGUUACGCUGUUGACCCGACGUCUCGGUCCGCUUACAGUGGUCUUCGGACAGCUUAUGAAA
rnacentral:misc_RNA from 1 species